AGAUUGGUUUUGGUUUAAGAAGGCAAAGGAAAAGUUUGGUGGAGGAUUUGAUAUUUCAUUAAUUAAUUUGGGGAGUUAGUGGUAGGAUUGAGUUGUUGAAUCCUUAUCAAAUUGUUUAGUUCUGCGUCUGAUUUUGUCAUUAGUUGCGACAAUUAAUUUAAAGUAUUGAUUUCAGUAGUUACAUUUUUUUGGUUAUAGUAGAAAGUGAAAAAGUGAUUUUGAAAUUCUAAAUUAGAGUUUUUAAUUUGGAGCUUCUGGUUUUACUAGAAAGAGAAAUUGCUGGAAAAAUUAGCAAUAA
rnacentral:lncRNA from 1 species